rnacentral:SRP_RNA from 1 species
AGCCGGGGAGUUAGCGGUGCCCUGUACCUGCAAUCCGCUAUAGCAGGGGUGAUAUUCUGCCGAGGAUUCUCAUUGUGGGGCUGCCCUUUGCAUGCGACGUUGAUGUUCUGGUCCUGCGCAACGGGAAUUUGUGAACCGUGUCAGGUCAGGAAUGAAGCAGCACUAAGCAAAAUCUCCCGUGUGCCGCAGGAGCGCCGGAGCUGAGUUUACUGCAAAGGUACCGCCCAUGGUGACAGUUCGACGCAGAAUGCGC